rnacentral:rRNA from 1 species
AUUGAACGCUGGCGGCAUGCCUUACACAUGCAAGUCGAACGGCAGCACGGGAGCAAUCCUGGUGGCGAGUGGCGAACGGGUGAGUAAUGUAUCGGAACGUACCUUUCAGUGGGGGAUAACGUAGCGAAAGUUACGCUAAUACCGCAUAUUCUGUGAGCAGGAAAGCAGGGGAUCGCAAGACCUUGCGCUGAUUGAGCGGCCGAUAUCAGAUUAGCUAGUUGGUGAGGUAAAGGCUCACCAAGGCGACGAUCUGUAGCGGGUCUGAGAGGAUGAUCCGCCACACUGGAACUGAGACACGGUCCAGACUCCUACGGGAGGCAGCAGUGGGGAAUUUUGGACAAUGGCCGCAAGCCUGAUCCAGCCAUGCCGCGUGAGUGAAGAAGGCCUCGGUUGUAAGUACGUACUUCUAG